CUCAUAUACCAAGGGAACAUGUUGGGUCGUUGAGAUAUACUCCCCAUUGGAUAAAAUCAUUGCAGGGAAGCCUUCUUAACUUAUUGAUUUUCUAAUUUUUAUUUGUUUAUAGGGACAAUCAAUUGAAAGCUACAGUGUGGGAUCAACAUAUACCAAGGCC